rnacentral:rRNA from 1 species
ACAAACGCUGGCGGCGUGCUUAACACAUGCAAGUCGAACGGACUCCUAGAUAAGAAUUCUUCGGAAUGACGAUUUAGGCAGUUAGUGGCGGACGGGUGAGUAACGCGUGGGUAAUCUGCCCUUUACCCGGGGACAACAUUUGGAAACGAAUGCUAAUACCGGAUACGCUCCAUGAGCCGCAUGGUUUAUGGAGGAAAGAUGGCCUCUGCAUAUGCUAUUGGUAAAGGAUGAGCCCGCGUCCGAUUAGCUAGUUGGUAAGGUAACGGCUUACCAAGGCGACGAUCGGUAGCCGGCCUGAGAGGGUGGCCGGCCACACUGGGACUGAGACACGGCCCAGACUCCUACGGGAGGCAGCAGUGGGGAAUCUUCCGCAAUGGGCGAAAGCCUGACGGAGCAACGCCGCGUGAAUGAAGAAGGCCUUCGGGUCGUAAAGUUCUGUCUUUAGGGAAGAACCGUAUAUGGGUUAAUACCCCAUAUACCUGACGGUACCUAAGGAGGAAGCUCCGGCUAACUACGUGCCAGCAGCCGCGGUAAUACGUAGGGAGCAAGCGUUGUCCGGAAUUACUGGGCGUAAAGGGCGCGUAGGCGGGAAUUUAAGUUAGAUGUGAAAACUAAGGGCUCAACCUUUAGACUGCAUUUAAAACUGGAUUUCUUGAGGGCAGGAGAGGAAGGUGGAAUUCCUAGUGUAGCGGUGAAAUGCGUAGAUAUUAGGAGGAACAUCAGUGGCGAAGGCGACUUUCUGGACUGUACCUGACGUUGAUGCGCGAAAGCGUGGGGAGCAAACGGGAUUAGAUACCCCGGUAGUCCACGCCGUAAACGAUGAAUACUAGGUGUAGGAGGUAUCGACCCCUUCUGUGCCGCAGCUAACGCAAUAAGUAUUCCGCCUGGGGACUACGGUCGCAAGACUAAAACUCAAAGGAAUUGACGGGGACCCGCACAAGCGGUGGAGCAUGUGGUUUAAUUCGACGCAACGCGAAGAACCUUACCAGGGCUUGACAUCCCGGGCCCGCCAUAGAAAUAUGGUUUUCGGACCUUCGGGUUCGACUCGGAGACAGGUGGUGCAUGGUUGUCGUCAGCUCGUGUCGUGAGAUGUUGGGUUAAGUCCCGCAACGAGCGCAACCCCUACUUUCAGUUGCCAGCAUUUAGUUGGGCACUCUGGAGGAACUGCCGGUGACAAACCGGAGGAAGGUGGGGAUGACGUCAAAUCAUCAUGCCCUUUAUGUCCUGGGCUACACACGUGCUACAAUGGCCGGUACAGAGGGUUGCCAAGGAGUGAUCUGGAGCUAAUCCCAUAAAGCCGGUCUCAGUUCGGAUUGUAGGCUGCAACUCGCCUGCAUGAAGUCGGAAUCGCUAGUAAUCGCGAGUCAGCAUAUCGCGGUGAAUACGUUCCCGGGUCUUGUACACACCGCCCGUCACACCACGAAAGUUGGCAACACCCGAAGCCGAUGAGCUAACCGUAAGGAGGCAGUCGUCUAAGGUGGGGUCGAUGAUUGGGGUG